rnacentral:rRNA from 1 species
UGGGGAAUUUUGGACAAUGGGCGAAAGCCUGAUCCAGCAAUGCCGCGUGUGUGAAGAAGGCCUUCGGGUUGUAAAGCACUUUUGUCCGGAAAGAAAUCCUUGGCUCUAAUACAGUCGGGGGAUGACGGUACCGGAAGAAUAAGCACCGGCUAACUACGUGCCAGCAGCCGCGGUAAUACGUAGGGUGCAAGCGUUAAUCGGAAUUACUGGGCGUAAAGCGUGCGCAGGCGGUUUGCUAAGACCGAUGUGAAAUCCCCGGGCUCAACCUGGGAACUGCAUUGGUGACUGGCAGGCUAGAGUAUGGCAGAGGGGGGUAGAAUUCCACGUGUAGCAGUGAAAUGCGUAGAGAUGUGGAGGAAUACCGAUGGCGAAGGCAGCCCCCUGGGCCAAUACUGACGCUCAUGCACGAAAGCGUGGGGAGCAAACAGGAUUAGAUACCCUGGUAGUCCACGCCCUAAACGAUGUCAACUAGUUGUUGGGGAUUCAUUUCCUUAGUAACGUAGCUAACGCGUGAAGUUGACCGCCUGGGGAGUACGGUCGCAAGAUUAAAACUUAAAGGAAUUGACGGGG